UCGAAGAGAAGGUAAUUUCUCUUUUCUUCUUAUCUCUUUCUUUUUCUCUUUCCUCUCAUGCUUUUCUUCUCCUCUUCUGCCGAUCUCGAUUCAACAGAAUUGAGUUUGUGUUUGUACGUGGAUCUGUAAUAAGCUUAGUAAGAUGAUGUAUCGAGUGAGUAUAUGUUGUGCUGAAAUUAUUGGAGCUUUAGAAGAAGAUGAUAAAGUUGUUGCUGGAAUUGGAGUUAGGGUUUUCUAAAGGAUGAAGUUGAUCGAGGAAUUAUAUGGAAUUGAGUAUGAAAUCAAUUAAUUGAAGACGGGUUGUGUAUAUCAAAAACAAUAAAGAAGAAUUGGGUGUUCUAUUUCGGUUCACAAGGAAGGAAUGAAGGAAUUAGGGUUUUAUAAUUCAUUGAAGAUAAGAUUAGAGUUUAUUAAGAUAAUUGCAGAAUUAGGGUUGGUGUUGGAUAUUGAUCGAUUGGAUGAAGUUAGGGUUUCUGGAUGAACUAGAAGAUGGAAUCGAUAUCUUAGGGAGAAGAUUAGAGAUGGGGGUUUGUGUUAUGAGAACUAAUGUUGCUGAUGAAGGCUAGGGAUUGAUUUUGUUAAUAAGAAGAUGAUGGAAUUAAUUUCAGUGCCGAUCUGUUUGAUGCUUGAGCGAAGCAAGUUUGAGGGAGAAUUGAAGUUGAAACUUGGUUAGUAGUAAUUGAACCGGGUUGAGGGAGUUCAUUGCUUAGCUGCAAUUGUGAAGAUAUGGAUGUGCAGGUGAUGGUUUGAAUGAAUGAGAUGUUGAAUGAAGUAUGGGUUUAGUGAGGUGAUCUUGAGAUGGUUAUGGAACUGAGAAUGAGCCAAGAUGUGCUUUUGAAGCUGUAAUGGUAGUGUGGAUGAAGCUAUAUGGGAUACGAAUGGAUGGUGGAGGUUUAGGAACUGUUUUGAGGAGGAGUUAUAUUACACUGAACUGAUUAUUGAGGCAGUGAAGAGAUGGGGAUGGUGAAUAUGGAAUUGGUUACAGUUGCAUUAUUGUUUUCCUUUGCAACAGUUUAUGUUUAACAAACUCAUGUAUUUUUGUUUGUGCGUUCUAUGCAUUUUUUUAACUUGUUUUACGAUAAUUCUAUUGAUUCUGUUAAUAUUUCGAUGGUUUGGAAAGGACCUGUAAUGUGUUGUUGUCAAUAUGAAUUGUUAUGGAAAAUAAGAAUUUCCA